rnacentral:rRNA from 1 species
AGGACGAACGCUGGCGGCGUGCUUAACACAUGCAAGUGGAGCGACGAACCAGGCUUCGGCCUGGGGCAGAGCCGCGAACGGGUGAGUAACACGUGGGUAACGUGCCCCGAUGACUGGGACAACCCGGGGAAACCCGGGCUAAUACCGGAUAUGCCCCCUCACGCGAGUGAGGUGUGUAAAGGAAGCUUCGGCCUCCGCAUCGGGGAUCGGCCCGCGGCCCAUUAGCUUGUUGGUGAGGUAACGGCUCACCAAGGCUUCGAUGGGUAGCUGGUCUGAGAGGACGAUCAGCCACACUGGGACUGAGACACGGCCCAGACUCCUACGGGAGGCAGCAGUGGGGAAUCGUUGCGAC